UGAAAGAUGCAAUUGCAUCACUAGUAGAUGGACCUGCGUUGUAUUAGCUAGUUGGUGAGGUAACGGCUCACCAAGGCGACGAUACAUAGCCGACCUGAGAGGGUGAUCGGCCACACUGGGACUGAGACACGGCCCAGACUCCUACGGGAGGCAGCAGUAGGGAAUCUUCGGCAAUGGGGGCAACCCUGACCGAGCAACGCCGCGUGAGUGAAGAAGGUUUUCGGAUCGUAAAGCUCUGUUGUAAGAGAAGAACGUGUGUGAGAGUGGAAAGUUCACACAGUGACGGUAACUUACCAGAAAGGGACGGCUAACUACGUGCCAGCAGCCGCGGUAAUACGUAGGUCCCGAGCGUUGUCCGGAUUUAUUGGGCGUAAAGCGAGCGCAGGCGGUUUAAUAAGUCUGAAGUUAAAGGCAGUGGCUUAACCAUUGUUCGCUUUGGAAACUGUUAGACUUGAGUGCAGAAGGGGAGAGUGGAAUUCCAUGUGUAGCGGUGAAAUGCGUAGAUAUAUGGAGGAACACCGGUGGCGAAAGCG
rnacentral:rRNA from 1 species